UCAUCCGGGAAAAAAAUGAUGCGUUGUUUCCCACCUUCCCCACUUUAUCGCUAACCUCUCCGUGCCCACGCCUCCACCUCUUACGCAUGAAACGUUUUCCUAUUCCCCCAUCGUUUUGGCCUUCAUCCUAAGCGAGGGACGCACCCACAGCAGCUAGGGUUCCAACCACCGCCGUCCUUUGCCCUCGACUGCCUCCCCUGUUCCCUCGGUUCGUUCAAGAGCCUCAGCCAAGCCAUCCUCCCUCGCCACUUUCUCCGCGCGUCGGGGACACACUGGACAUCGUCGCCCAUCCUCCUUGCGUUGGGGAACGCGUCGCCGCCGUCGUUUCAUGCGCAUGACCGGAGAUGCAGACGCCGGCGUUGUUUCUCCACAGUCCACACAGCAAGGAACCGAUGCCCUCGUCUUCCAACUGCAGUAGUUCAGCAGGUCCUAUUCUGCUCUCCCGCAUCUGUAUUUGUACUCUGUCAAGUAAUAUUCCCCAUGUCCUCGCCCAUCUUUGUUUUUCCUUGCCGGCCGCAUCUUACAAGCUACAACACCAAUGGACCACAUCCUCAUUGAGGCCUGUCCCUGCAUGCGUAGCUGCAUAUGCUGAUUUCAAACCUACUAAGAUUUCCUAUUUUAGCGCGCAUCACUGAAGGGGACAGUUUAACUGACCCACAAGUUUCUUGUUGAAAUAAAUGUGGGAUUCUUCUACCCAAACGUUGAACAAGAGAUGAUUUCUGCAGAGAGAGAAGUUGAGAACGUGCAAGGUUUGCAAAGGAUAUGACCAUAAUUUCGUGAUCAACCAAAAAGGCAUCUAUUCCUCAUCCCUUGAUCUCCCAGCUAGAGUUGAGCUAUGUGUGUGCAUCAACCGUUACUGAUUUUGUUGCUGCUUGUGGCCCGAGUCUUAUCUCUGCUUGGGGUGGAGCUGCAAGAUCGGACGGAAACCAGCCUUCUUAUGGUAGGAUCAGUCUCGUAUGUUCUUUCCCCCACAGCUAAUCAAUUAUUUUGUGAUGUCCUGUCUUGUAUACUAAUUAUGGCAUGCUCUUGUCUAUACUAAUUAGAUCACGCAUUCCUUCAAGGUGAAGUCAGGGGCUCAGGGUAGACAGUUCAUAGUUUUCUUGCUCUUUCCCCUUUCUGUUUGUUAGUUCAUUAUGCACGUCUUUUUCUAUGCAUGUGUUGAUAACUCCAGUUGUUCCAAUCUGAUGAUGCUUUUUUUCGUUGUGCUGCUUCUGCAAGUUGUGAGAAUUUUAUUCAUGGAUCAGGAAAUUCUAAUGUGUGACUUUGUAGUACUCAGGUAACAACGACAUUUUGUCUAAUGUAUAUUAUUUACAGAUUUUUUGAUUUGUUGGCACUAAUAAGAUUUCUCCUAAUACACCAUAGCAAGCAUGACUAAUAAGUCGUCCCAAGAAUCGGUAGUACAGGAGUGAUGUGACCCAAAGCUAACUAGUGCAGAGACCAUUGGAAAAUGGAAAUAUUCAAUUAUGUAUAGUUGGUAUAACUGGUUACCUAGAAUACUUAUCAUUUAGCCGGUUGCUGAAUUCAUCUCACUAUUACUAUAAUAUAUUUUUUGGAGAUAAUUUUUUGUAGUAAAUACAAGCUGAUGAUUGUUCACAAUGAAUAGCCAUCCGAUUGGUCAAAGGUACUCGGUGUUUCAAUACGUAGUUUUUUAUCUUAACAAGCCAUAGUUAUUCAGAACACGUGCACGACAAUUAAGAGAAAUAUAAUGGCCUCAGUUUACAAAGUAAGGGUGAAGACUCAAAGUCCCUCUGUUUGUACUACAUAGCAUGGCAAUGACCCUUUCGCUAGUGUGUAUUUUUAUUAUUUCUUUACAGAGCGAUGCUAUAGAUGAUGCAAGUAUCUGCACUUUGCACUUCUGCAUUUUGGUCUUUUUUAUAGAAAAUGGACUGGAACAAUAAAACUAUAUAAUGAUAGUUCAUAUAAUAUUGAAUUGACGCGAGAUGCAAAAAAAACAAUUAGUACACGGAUAUAGGUCGCAUAA